rnacentral:lncRNA from 1 species
CUAUUUUAGCUUUUAGCUACUUUAGAGAGCGUGUUUAGCUUUUAUUUGAUAUUUUCGAAACUCCAACAGACUAGCCAAAGUUUAGAUAUUAUAACUUUUAGCUAUAUCGCUAGUUAAACAUAGAGAGCGAGAUGACUCAGAUGAUGCUAGUUAUAAUUUAAUACAUUCCAUGUAAGAUAUUUUACGUGAUAUAUAUAUAUAUAUAUAUAUUUGAACUAUAUAAUCUUUAUUUGAAUGUAAUGCUAGCUAAAAUAGAGAGCAUUGAUGUAGCCGCAUUUCUAAAAUGGCUAGCCAAAAUGACAUUUUAGCUAAUUUGACUAAAAUUUAACUAAAAAAUGACUAACAUUGCUAAAGAUGCUUUAAGGAAUAUGGAGUGAAUUGGAGGGUGUGCAUGUAGUAAUUGGAGUGAAUUGUGGGAUAAUCUUCAUUCGAGCAUUCAAGAUUGGAUUCACCAGGUUUAAGUGAUCAUAAUCAUAUAAUGGGUUAGUAAGCAACUAGCCAUUGGAUGUUCCUCGAACACGACGAUCAUUUGGUGUCACAUUGCCAAACGUGUACACCUUUUCAUGCGACAGACAAUGAAACCUAUUCUUGCAUAAAUUACCUGCAACACUAUGAUUAGGCAACGACCAUAACUCGGUCAUAAGAGGAUGACCAUCGCGAUCCGGCGAGAUGUCCUAGCGAGCUAAAACGAAUCCGAUCAGAUAGAACCAACCGCUUAUAGAUUUCUUACCACAGUUCUGGCGGUGAAGGUAUAAAGUUGUUGACAAUCCUUAUAUAGAACAAAACACAACCUAUGAAGCCUAAAACAAUUGGGAGAUUGGUCUUGCACAUCUGAAGAACAAGGUGAAGAAGUAGAAGAACCAACAGGAUCUCAUGGAACUCAGGUAAAAUCAUGCAUGUGCAUGGUUUUUCAAAUAGAAUAGCAGUAUCACUUGCCAUCCUAAAAAUCUGGGUUUCCAGCUUUUUAAUCUUUUGUUCUGUUGUCUUAUGUUUAAGUUUCUUUACCCUUGUGGCAUCAAUUUUAUGUUUGGGAAAGAUCCUAAUUUGAAUUUCAAAUUGACAACUAGAAUAUUUAAAGGUCUUGCCUUUGUGCUCAAUUUAGUUUUGGGUUUCAUGCUUUUGUCUCAACCCGUGACUCAUGGUUUAGAGCUCUAAGGCUACAGCUGUAUUUGUGAUACACAAACAAAUAUAGCAGUUGUCUUUGUUUGAUAGCAGAGAAAAAAUAAUUUGCUAAACCAAUGUGAUAUUAUGCUUUUAGGAAAAGUUUGCAAAAUCUUUUGUCUCUUGCUUUUAAAUCAAACAUUGUUUAGGAUAGUUUUAUUUGUCUUUUUGCUUGGUCAUGGACAGCUACAUAUGUUCUCUCACUUUCUGAGUUUGGCCAAAGACAAAAGUCCAAAAUCCUUUCCUUGCUUUGGGCCUCUUGCCUGCCCUCUUGUGGCACCUCUUUGGCUUGUGUCUCUCUCUUGUUAGAGCACUUAAUCAACCUAUUUAUAUUGAGCAAGGCUGCCUUUGCUCAAUGGUUGUCAAGAUGUAGUUUUUACAUUUGUAUGGUUGGGUUUUGGUUUUCCUUUGCAUUGUUCAUUGGUCUCUAAGUCUUACUUUUGUGAUUAUAAACCUUAGAGCUGAACAUAACUUUUUCUCACAAACUCAUUGCAUUAUUGUUGAGGUUUGGUUUUCCUUUGCAUUGUUCAUUAGUCUCUAAGUCUUCCUUUUGUGAUUAUAAACCUUAGAGCUGAACAAAACCUUUUCUCUUAAACUCAUUGCAUUCUGCAUACUAUGAGAUCAGUUGGUAGUGCAGCAACCCAGGAAGUGUUCAUGAAAGAAGAAGUUGAGGAUAGCUGAGUUCUGAUGUAUCCCGCUGAGGUAGCUGGGUUCAUGAAAGAAUCAGUUUAAGAUAGCUGAGUUUCUGAGAGUCUUAGAAGUGUUCAAGAAGAAUCAAUUAAGUGAUAGCUGAGUUCUAGGUUGAAACUUCUUAUACCUUUAUGUGUAGCCACUUAGAGACAAGAGAGGUAGAUCUAGACUAGUUUGAGACUAGGUAGGAUAGCAAGUCGUUGCUGUUUCCUAUACUGAAAUCUUUUAAGGAGUGAGGUACUCAGAAACAAGAGAGAAAGUAUAGAUCUAGACUAGUGGGUAGUUUAGACAAGAGAGCAAGUCGUUCAUGUAUUUGUUAUUCAUGAUAGCUAUAACCCUUGCUAUCCCUGAGAAUGAAUUUAUACGAAAAAAGUUGGUAAGGGCCUAUUCCACCCCCCCCCCCCCCCCCUCCUAGGACCUUUAAGUGGUAUCAGAGCAGCCACUAGCUUUUGUUAGUGAGAUCCUUUAUGAGCCGAGAAUGGACCGUGAUAGAGGCCACACUUCCAUUAACGUCCAUUCAUAUUUUGAUUGGACUAAUUAUGGAAGGAUGAACAUCAAAGCUUUUAAUAGCUUGCCCGCUGCUCUAUUUGACAAAGAGCGUUGGAGAGUCAGUUGGGACACAUUGGCUACGACCUAUGAAAAAGCUCAAAAAUUCCAUAGCUUAUUUCAUGAGUCUAAACCAUCCUUGGAUGAUGUUUAGGAUUCCUUGGCCUUUGUAGCCCCAGUCAUAUUAGAUGAGUCCUUUAAGGACAAGGAUUCUAAUGAUAGUAUACAUGUCAUGUAUACUGAGUUGCUUUAUGAUUCAAAGUCUAUUCUCACUAGGAUUGAAAUUCUGUCAAUGAAUUAUCAAAUAGUGAGGAGAGGAAAUUUGGAAAUUCUUGGUUCAAGUUUUGAAAUUAGAGAGUGCUCAAAGUAGUAAAGCAACUGUUUUCGUCAAGAGCAAAGAACCCCUUGUUGUUGAGCCUAGUCGACUAGGGAUUGCAAAACUUCUAACCUUUUGUCCCCUUUUGCUCGCCACCACUAUGUUGUUGUUGGCCAUAUCUGAUUUUUCUGUCAAUCCAACCCUAGGAGAUCCUAGGAGAAUCAGUUGCUCACCUCGUUUUGGUUAUUCUUAGAAAAUCCUUAAGAGAGUUUUCAAGGAUAGCAAGGUGUCUGUCUAUCCCUAAACCCAGAUUCCAUAGAAAAAUCCACUUGGGUUAUAAUGAGAUUUCUGAGCGGUGUUGUUUCAAAGCCAUAUCAGUUUAUACCAAACCAUUUGACAUUUUUUGGACGAAACAUAGAUGUUGGGCAUAUAUGCCUUUUUCUCUAGACUUAGAAUUUGUCUUGGAGAGACUUAGUUCAUGGCCAUGUGCAAUGUUACACUUAGUGUUCUUACGACAAGUCGUUUUGACUUGUGGUAUGUGGACAAUGGCUGUUUUAAGGCAUAUGAUCUGUGACCCAAAAUGGUUCACAUCUAAGUUUGGACAAGUUGUGUUUGGGGUUAGUGCCAAAGCUGAGUUGGUUGUGGGAUAGCUAACACUCCUGGUCUCCUGGACCUGAAGGAUAUUUCUUUUGGUAAAAGGGUUAGAGGUCAGUCUCCUAAGUGUUAGUUUGAUUUGACCGUGUUAUAUGUCUGAUACCUGAUGGUAAAGGUAAAGGCAUGAUGAGAGGUGUGAGGACUAAGGACCAAUGUUAUGGUACAUUUGCAUAAGAGAACUUUUCUCCUCAAGAGUGAUUUCGUUAAUGGUAUCUGAGGAUGCUCUUAAACUUUGGCACAGAAGAGCGUGUCAUCUGAAUCAUCUGGUCAUUAUAAAACUAUCAUCGAAAGGAGCCGACAGGAUACCUAAGCUCACUGGUAUCCCCACAGAUAUGUAUGAGCAUUGCAGAAUUGGUAAGCUGGCUCAUUCUCUUCACUUUUGAUUUGAUGUUUAACCUAUUUUUAAUAUGCUUGAACUGUUGCAUAUAGAGUUAGUUGAACUUGUUGAAACUAAAGCGUUGGUGGUUGGAAGCAUGUGCUUGUAAUUAUUGUUGUUUUUUUUCAAGAUUCACUUGGGUUAGAUUCCUAGCUAUUAAAGGUGAAAGUGUUGAAAAGAUUACAGCUUUGCUAGAAAUUGGGUUUCAAUUGAAUAAUGUUUUGUUGGCUUGCAUAUUGGUAGUAUUAGAUUCGACCAUGACAUUAAAUUUCAACAUGCUUCAUUAUUGUUGUGAGGAAUUUGGUGUACAUCAUGAAUUUUCUACUUCCAUUACUCCCAAACAACAUAGCUUUGUUGAGAGUGUUUUGUUGGCUUGCAUAUUGGUAGUAUUAGAUUCGACCAUGACAUUAAAUUUCAACAUGCUUCAUUAUUGUUGUGAGGAAUUUGGUGUACAUCAUGAAAUUUCUACUUCCAUUACUCCUAAUUAACAUAGGUUUGUUAAAAGGAUAAAUUGUGUCCUUAUUAACUUGGGAAGAGUUACGCUUAAAUGCCUAUGAUCUCCCUCAUUCCUUUUGGGGAGAGGUUUGCUUCUAAUGUCUACUAUUCUUUAGAUAGAGUGAUUUUCAAGUUGAAAUUCUUCAAGCCACCAUUUGAGCUUCGGAAAUGGAAGAAGUCAUAUAUGUCACAUGUGAAAGCAUAUUGUGUGGACAACAAGAGAUCAUGCAAAGUGAAGGAAAUAUUAUAUGUUGCAAUAUAUGACUUCUUUAUUCUCUCAUGGUUAUUCUGUGGUGUCUGAACAUGAACAAGUCUGAGAUGCACCAAUUGUCGACCGAAUAUCCAAUGUGGAAAUCCCGGGGAUUGAAUCUGAUUUCCCAGACUCAGGGAUAGAUGAGGGUCUUUCCAUCCCGACACCCCACAGAUCUAGAACAAUGUCAAGCUCAGAAAGAUCACACUUCUUCUGACAUAUUUUGGUAAGGUGGUUGAGCCUAGACAAACCAAGGGUAAGUCAAUUUGACUGGUAAGCAGUGUUGUCAUCGUUAAGUGUUUACUUGCUACAUAUUGAUAUGAUACCCACACCAUAUUUUAUUUAUGAUUUUGUAUUUAUCAUAGAGUCCAUAUUUGAUAUGAAAGCCUUGUCUGAUGUUGAUUAUAUCAGUGCCUUGCAAGUUGCUAGAUAAGUUAGACCGUUUUGAAAUAAGCAUUGUAUGACACUUAGUUCUUGCUAGAUCCAAAGCCCCAGGAUUUCAAAGUCUCAGCCAUCAUGAGCAUGUGCAUAGGUUAGCAACGCCCUUUAUUUAUGGCCUUAAGCCAGCUUCUAGAGCUUGUUAUGAGAGUUUAUCCACACACUUGUUAGAUGGGUAUGUGAGAGGUUCAGUUGACAAAACCAUUUUUGUCAAAAGCACCUCAAUACACAUUAUAAUUGCAUAAGUAUAUGUUGAUGACAUGUGUUCGGUCCCAUUUUGUGAUAUCUUACUGGAUGUGUUUGCCACCUUUUUUAAAAUUUUUUGAGAUGAGUCUCUAUGGUAAACAGUGUUACUCUCUGUGUUUACAAGUUGUGUAUAAAAAGGAUAAAUUGUUUAUCUGUCACUCCAAUGUUUGGGAUGGAAGCAUCCACUGCCAUCCUGAUUCUGAUAGGCAUGAGCUGUAAAAUCAUUGCCAAUCUGGAGGAUAUUGAUGUUGAUUAAACAAUAUUCAAGAGCAUGAUUGUUAGCCUCUUGUACUUCACAACCAAUAGGUAUGUUAUUGCCUUAUGUGUUGGUUUCUUUGCUAACAACCUAGAAAACUCCAAGGGAUCCCAUGUGAAGGCGGUAAACCUUAUCUUUGGAUUCAUGUAUGGUACUUGUGAUUUUGGUUUUAGUUAUCCAUAUGAUACUAAUGCUGAUAUUGCAGGUUUCUCCAACUUGGAUUGGGUUAGCGAUGCUACGGAUAAGACACCUUGGGAGAUUGUUCCUUGUGAGAACCAAUUUGGUCUCUUGGCAUCGUAAGAAGCCACCAUUUUCACUGCACAAACUGAUCUCAUGGAUGCAGAAAGUUGUUGCAUGCAACUAUUGUGGAUGAAGCCACAUGUGUGCUGACUAGGGAUUCCAGCAAGGUAUUCUAUCCCUGUUUUUGUGGUAAUAUUUAUGUCACCAAUAUUUCCAAGAAAACUGUGUUGCAUUCUAGGAUUAAACAUGUUGAUAUUAAGUAUCAUUUCAUCAUAACUUUGGGCUGAACAUAACUUGCUUAAAUUGUGCUUAUACUUGUUGAAGAUUGAUAUGCAUAAUUGUUUACAAAAUCCCUUGACAACCUUGUUUUACAUGCCUUCGAAAGGCCAUUGGUGUGUGCCAAAGAGAUUGGUUUCUCCCCUUGAGACUCUUGUGUGUUUGUACAUAAGUGUUUAGGCUUAGAAGUUCUUCUUUAAAAAAAAAUCAAAAAUAUGUGUCUUUAUUUUCUAGAAAUAGUUUUCAGGAUACCUGUGUGAUGUGCUAUCCCUAGACAGUUCUUGAUCUUGACCUAAGUGAGUGUUUGAGUUUCACUUGUCUUAGUUGCUCUCUUGUCCACAUGUAUGUUUGCAUCUGAUUGAUCAUUAUUUCUCAUAUGUGGUCUGAUAAGCUUUGAAAGACUUAAGAAACUACAUGCUUCACAUAGUCAACUUUGUGGGUUACAAAGUGCAAAGCUAUAAACUUGAGAUGAGUUGAUGCAAAGAGUUUCUAUGCCAAACUAGCCUUAAAGUAUACAUUCCUUGGUCGUGAGAAACGAUAUAAGGGUGGGAAGAAACAAGGUUGGUUUGAUGAGGUGUGUGUUGAGCUUUUUGCUCCACUAUAGGCUAGUCUCAAAGUAUAAAUUCAUUGGCCGUGAUGAGUGAUAUAAAGGUGGGCAGAAACGAGACUAGUUUAGUGAUCUUGAAGUGUAAAUGAAAUUCACAAAUCAUAUCUUGGACUAACUGGUCUCUCACUUGAUACAUGACACGGUGAGGAUUCCUGAAAUGCAUUCUAUCCUUCUAUGGGUUCGAGUUGGUUGUCCUAUUGAGUAUCUUUGUUACACUUAUUGCCCCAAGACCAUCUGGUUAGGGAGUCAAUGGCAACCCUCUUGCUAUAUGAACCUAUGAGGACGAUUUUUCAGAUUGACUAUUAAACUAAUAUCUAAUUAAAUUAAUCGGAAAAAUUGCCUCUGAAUUUGAACAAUGUUGUUUUUGGUGCUCUAAGGAUGGAUGUGACCUCUGCUCUCUUAGAUUGUAUGAUAUAUCAUCUCUCAUCUCAGUUGAUGUUGAUCUAAAGACCCACAAGUGAAACUAUCUCGCACACACACUCUGAUGUCUGGACUAGGUUUAAUGGACCAUGUUGAUUUCUUCACAGUCAUAUAUACAUGUGGACUAGCAUAGUGAUUAAGACAUUUGAAAUUUUGGUGUCUUACUUUGUGUGCUUAUGCUCAAACUGUCUAUAUACAGGGAUCUUAAUGGACAUUGGUAUCCUUAGUAGGUUGUUUAGUCGUUACUUCUUGUGUGUCAUUUUAUUUCAAUUAGAUAAGUUUUUUUAUGCACACUCUUAGGGGGAGUAAUUGAUAAUCGGUGGUACACACACACGCACCUUAUAUUUCUUGAAAUUAAGAUUGUCAAAAGUUUUUAGAAAACUCUUAUGUAAGUGUGUCAUUGCUUAUCUUUUGAUUGAGGACUUUGUGAGCUUGUGCUUAAACUUUCUGGUUAGGAUCAAGAUAAUGGUUGGUAUCCUAGGUCUUGCAUCUAGUUGUUCCUUCUUUCAUAUUAUGCACACCCAUAGGGGGAGCAAUGCACCAUCUUAGAGGGAGUAUAUUUAUGAUAUGAGCUAUUCACAUACUUGCAUCUUAGUCCUUUUGAGGUUGUCAAAACAUUGAGGGAAGUUCUUCCCGUGUGUUGCAUGUUUUGAGUGUGAGAUUGCUUGUGUUUGGUUGUGCGUUGUACCUAUGUGAUUUGAAGCAUCACUUCUGUUCCAAGAAUGAUAUUGACUUUUGCCUUAAUCAUUGAUUUGUUUCCUAUGGGAUAGUUGGACUCUCUUUCUCAAGUAUGUGGUCAUGAGAGUUGAAAGGAUUGAACUAUAGUUGUUUUAAGCAUGAGUGAGUUGUAGUUUUCAGUGGCAUACUCUGACGUCAUACCACGACGCUUUCUUCGCUGCCUAGAUGCCAUGCUAAUUGCUCUACUCUCCCUUGAUCUUUUCACCUUCCCUCUCCCUUGAUAGCCUUUCCACUAUCAUUCACUUUAGUUCAUACUGAGGUGCACUGACCAUUGUGUAGGUUGUUGUUGAUGUUAUUGUUUGGAGUGUAUGCUCAAACUUAAAUAUGGGGUCAAUGUUCCUAUUAUCAAAUGCAAAGCUUCAGCUGCUGUAGGGGUUGUCAAACCCACAUUGUCUCCCGUAAGGGUGAUCCCUUAGAUAUCCCUAGCUCUCCCUCCUUGUUCUCACUUUGCCUUUUAUGAGUUCAUGUUACUCUUUCAAGGUUGAUUGUUUUAUGAGAAUUCCAUUGACCUUAAAACAAUUCCUCUUGCUGUGAAUUUGUUUGUUGGUGGGUUAGGAUGGCUUAAUUGCUUAGUGUCUUUUCUUAGGGUUGACCAUACAUGGGUGUGUGGUCUUUAUGCAGAUUCCCCUUAGGACAUUGGUUCAGAUGUUAACCUUAGAUCUAAAUAUCUUCCUUUGUGUUUAACCAUAAUUCUCCAGGAUAUCAAGAUCUGCUGGUAUCCCUCAUAGACCCUCCGAGAGUUGUCUCUUGGUCAUCUAGGUUUUUCCACCAAGCUAUUCUUUGUAGUUAAUGUUUAAGUGUGACAUCAGGAUGUCUUUGCUACUCACUUAUCCCCUGUUGACACCCAUUGCUAAGUAUUUAUGACUAUUCAAUGUGUAUGUCGAGUCUCUUGAGCAAAACUUGCUCAAAUAAGAUAUGCUUCUUGCUGCCUUUAAUGGUGAGGAUUAGGACGUUGCAAAUGAUGUUGAUAAUACUGAGGAUGAUACGUAUAUGUGAUUAUAUUGAACCGCUCUGACCUUAUUUAGUUUGGUUUUAUCAUUCUCGACUCUCUUUAUGUCUCCUUGAACAUAUGGUGUCAUUCCUUCUCUUGAGCAAACUUGCUCAAAUAAGAUAUGCUUCUUGCUGCCUUUAAUGGUGAGGAUUAGGACGCUGCAAAUGAUGUUGAUAAUGUUGAGGAUGAUACGUAUAUGUGAUUAUAUUGAACCACUCUGACCUUGUUUAGUUUGGUUUUCCCAUUCUCGGCUCUCUUUAUGUCUCCUUGAACAUUUGGUGUCAUUCCUUGACAAAAAGGCGGAGAACUGGUUGUUCGGAUUGUUGGUGGUUGUUCCUAAGAGCUGUUGGUUAUACCUUAGAGCUUGUUGGAAGUUGGGAUUUAUGAAUAUUGAGAUUUGUGCUUAUAUUAUGCCUUGUGCCUAUGAGUCUGUGUUUCUGGAUAUAAGAUGCAUCUGCUAUCCCUGGUUGUUUUUAAUAUUCAUAAUUGUUCCCCUAUUCUUCACUUGUUCUUGAAAGUGCUUAUGCAGGUUGAGAGAAUGUUUGAACAACCUUGUCUUAGUGUGUUUUGUUAAGGAAUGCCAAAGGGGGAGAUUGAAGGUAUAAGGUUGUUGGCAAUCCUUAUAUAGAACAAAACACAACCUAUGAAGCCUAAAGCAAUUGGGAGAUUGAUCUUGCACAUUUGAAGAACAAGGUGAAGAAGUAGAAGAACCAACAUGAUCUCAUAGAACUCAGGUAAAAUCAUGCAUAUGCAUUUCAUGGUCUUUCACAGAGGAUAGCAGUAUCACUUGUCAUCCUAAAAAUCUGGGUUUCCAGCUUUUUGAUUUUUUGUUCUAUUGUCUUAUGUUUAAGUUUCUUUACCCUUGUGACAUCAAUUUUAGAUCCAAAUUUGAAUUUCAAAUUGACAACUAGAAUAUUUAAAGGUCUUGCCUUUGUGCUCAAUGUAGUUUUGGGUUUGAUGCUUUUGUCUCAACCCGUGACUCAUGGUUUAGAGCUCUAAGGCUACAGCUGUAUUUGUGAUACACAAACAAAUAUAGCAGUUGUCUUUGUUUGAUAGCAGAGAAAAAGUAAUUUGCUAAACCAAUGUGAUAUUAUGCUUUUAGGAAAAGUUUGCAAAAUCUUUUGUCUCUUGCUUUUAAAUCAAACAUUGUUUAGGAUAGUUUUAUUUGUCUUUUUGCUUGGUCAUGGACAGCUACAUAUGUCUUCUCACUUUCUGAGUUUGGCCAAAGACAAAAGUCCAAAAUCCUUUCCUUGCUUUGGGCCUCUUGCCUGCCCUCUUGUGGCACCUCUUUGGCUUGUGUCUCUCUCUUGUUAGAGCACUUAAUCAACCUAUUUAUAUUGAGCAAGGCUGCCUUUGCUCAAUGGUUGUCAAGAUGUAGUUUUUACAUUUGUAUGGUUGGGUUUUGGUUUUUCCUUUGCAUUAUUCAUUAGUCUCUAAGUCUUACUUUUGUGAUUAUAAACCUUAGAGCUGAACAUAAUUUUUUCUCACAAACUCAUUGCAUUAUUGUUGAGGUUUGGUUUUCCUUUGCAUUGUUCAUUAGUCUCUAAGUCUUCCUUUUGUGAUUAUAAACCUUAGAGCUGAACAAAACCUUUUUCUCUUAAACUCAUUGCAUUCUGCAUACCAUGAGAUCAGUUGGUAGUACAGCAACCCAGGAAGUGUUCAUGAAAGAAGAAGUUGAGGAUAGCUGAGUUUUGAUGUAUCCCGUUGAGGUAGUUGGGUUCAUGAAAGAAUCAGUUUAGGAUAGCUGAGUUUCUGAGAGUGAAACUUCUUAGAAGUGUUCAAGAAGAAUCAGUUAAGUGAUAGCUGAGUUCUGAGUUGAAACUUCUUAUAUCUUCAUGUGUAGCCACUUAGAGACAAGAGAGGUAGAUCUAGACUAGUUUGGGACUAGGUAGGAUAGCAAGUCGUUGUUGUUUCCUAUACUGAAAUCUUGUAAGGAGUGAGGUACUCAGAAACAAGAGAGAAAGUAUAGAUCUAGACUAGUGGGUAGUUUAGGCAGGAGAGCAAGUCGUUCAUGUAUCCUUAGACUAUAAUCUUGUAAGAAGUGAGUUUUACAUAGUGGAAAGGUUUGUCUCUCAAG